AGUGAACGCUGGCGGUAGGCCUAACACAUGCAAGUCGAACGGCAGCACAGUAAGAGCUUGCUCUUACGGGUGGCGAGUGGCGGACGGGAGAGGAAUACAUCGGAAUCUACUUUUUGGUGGGGGAUAACGUAGGGAAACUUAAGAUAAUACAGCAUACGACCUACGGGGGAAAGCAGGGGAAAUUCGGAGCUGGCGCGAUUGAAUGAGCCGAUGUCGGGUUAGCUGGUGGGGGGGGGAAAGGCCAACCAAGGGGACGAUACGUAGCUGGUCUGAGAGGAUGGUCGGCCACCUUGGAGCUUGGCCACGGUCCAUACUCCUACGGGAGGCAGCAGUCUCGAACAUUGGGCAAUGGUCGCAAGCCUUGUCCAGCCAUCCCGCGUGUGUUGCGACGGCCUUCCGUUUGUAAAGCCCUUUUUUUGGGAAAGAACAGCUUCCGGUUAUUACCCCGCUUUUCUGACGGUACCCAAUGAAUAAGCACCGGCUAACUUCGUG
rnacentral:rRNA from 1 species